CGCGUAGGUGGGCUGGUAAGUCAGACGUGAAAGCCCGGAGCUCAACUCCGGAACUGCAUUUGAAACUACUAGCCUUGAGGAUAGGCGGAGAAGACGGAAUUCCACGUGUAGCGGUGAAAUGCGUAGAUAUGUGGAAGAACACCGGUGGCGAAGGCGGUCUUCUAGCUUACUCCUGACACUGAGGCGCGAAAGCAAGGGGAGCGAACA
rnacentral:rRNA from 1 species